AACUGAACCCUCUCUCUAUUUUCGCGCGCAAAUGUCGCUCUCUCGUCACCUACUCCAGCAAGGCCCCAUCGAAUCCACCGUCUUCCGUCGCUUCUCCACCACCACCACCACCGCCACAUCCGGAUCCUCACUCGCCAACCGCCACCAGCACGAAUUUGACACCCCAAGCUCUUAGACAAACUCGUGGAAGCCGCCGCGAAACCCCAAGGAAGGCAACAGGCAAUUGGCCUUGCUCCGGCGUGAUUACGGCCGCCAAUUGAAACAAAUCCGCAAGGAUUACAUCAAUGAAAUGGAGCUGCAGAGGAUCGAGAAAUUGCGGAAGGACACGGCCAGAAAAGAGGCGCUGAGGAUUGCAAACGAAGAAGGAGACUGGCCAAGGACGCGAAGAAGAAGGCAGAGGCCAUCGAGAGGCAGGCUGCUGAACAGGAGUUCCGGCAGAUGUUGAUGAAAGAAAGAGCAGAGAAGCUUGGACAUUGGAGGAUGAGAGAGAAGAAGAUUGAGGAGCAAAAGAAAGAGAAGAAAGAGAUUUUGCGUAGGCAGAGUUCAAAGUGGAUUGAUGAACCUGAUCUAGUGAAGACAGCAAUGAAUAAUGUGUUUUGACAAUCUUCCACUCUCAUACCCCAAGUAGUGUAGACAGCGAUGAACUUCACCGUUGCUCUUAUCGACUUUGGAUCGGAUUGUUACACCACCUGCCGUCCCAGUCCUGCCCAACUAAUUGGUUGCUCAAGUUUUGAUGCUAUCAUUGGUUCGAGGAGAGGAAUUUUCUGGAUUUUCAUUUUUAGUUUAAUCCUUUCAUAAGAAACUGUGAUUGCUCUGUGUAUUUUUGCAAUCAUUUAUGUUUUGCCUUGCAUUGAUGCAGCAUUUGUAAUAAACCAUAAGGCCUCUUUUCAUUUCCGAAUAACUAAUUCCAAUAGUCUGAAAUAUCCAUGUAAAAA